GUGGGGAAUAUUGCACAAUGGGCGAAAGCCUGAUGCAGCAACGCCGCGUGAGGGACGACGGCCUUCGGGUUGUAAACCUCUUUUAGUAGGGAAGAAGCGAAAGUGACGGUACCUGCAGAAAAAGCACCGGCUAACUACGUGCCAGCAGCCGCGGUAAUACGUAGGGUGCAAGCGUUAUCCGGAAUUAUUGGGCGUAAAGAGCUCGUAGGCGGUCUGUCGCGUCUGCUGUGAAAACUGGGGGCUCAACCUCCAGCCUGCAGUGGGUACGGGCAGACUAGAGUGCGGUAGGGGAGAUUGGAAUUCCUGGUGUAGCGGUGGAAUGCGCAGAUAUCAGGAGGAACACCGAUGGCGAAGGCAGAUCUCUGGGCCGUAACUGACGCUGAGGAGCGAAAGCGUGGGGAGCGAACAGGAUUAGAUACCCUAGUAGUCC
rnacentral:rRNA from 1 species